rnacentral:rRNA from 1 species
UUCGGAAUGAAGUUUUUGUGACUGAGUGGCGGACGGGUGAGUAACGCGUGGGUAACCUGCCUCAUACAGGGGGAUAACAGUUGGAAACGACUGCUGAUACCGCAUAAGCGCACAGGAUUGCAUGAUCCAGUGUAGAAAAACUCCGGUGGUAUGAGAUGGACCCGCGUCUGAUUGGCCAGUUGGCGGGGUAACGGCCCACCAAGCCGACGAUGCAUAGCCGGCCUGAGAGGGCGGACGGCCACAUUGGGACUGAGACACGGCCCAAACUCC